AUUGAACGCUGGCGGCAUGCCUUACACAUGCAGGUCGAACGGUAACAGAUCUUCGGAUGCUGACGAGUGGCGAACGGGUGAGUAAUACAUCGGAACGUGCAUAGUAGUGGGGGAUAACUACUCGAAAGAGUGGCUAAUCCCGCAUGAGAUACACGGAUGAAACGAGGGGAUCGCAAGACCGUGUGCUACUAGAGCGGCCGAUGGCAGAUUAGGUAUUGGGUGGGAUAAAAGAUUACCAAGCCGACGAUCUGUAGCUUGUCUGAGAGGACGAUCAGACACAAAGGGACUAAGACACGGCACAGAUUCCUACGGGAGGCAGCAGUGGGGAAUUUUGGACAAUGAGCGCAAGCCCGAUCCAGCAAUGCCGCGUGCAGGAUGAAGGCCUUCGGGUUGUAAACUGCUUUUGUACGGAACGAAAAGCCCUGGGUUAAUACCCUGGGGUCAUGACGGUACCGUAAGAAUAAGCACCGGCUAACUACGUGCCAGCCGCCGCCGUAAGAC
rnacentral:rRNA from 1 species